rnacentral:piRNA from 1 species
UGAUAGACUUCUACAGAUGC